UACGAAGGGGGCUAGCGUUGUUCGGAAUCACUGGGCGUAAAGCGCACGUAGGCGGACUUCUAAGUCAGGGGUGAAAUCCCGGGGCUCAACCUCGGAACUGCCUUUGAUACUGGUGGUCUCGAGUCCGGGAGAGGUGAGUGGAAUUCCUAGUGUAGAGGUGAAAUUCGUAGAUAUUAGGAAGAACACCAGUGGCGAAGGCGGCUCACUGGCCCGGUACUGACGCUGAGGUGCGAAAGCGUGGGGAGCAAACAGG
rnacentral:rRNA from 1 species